rnacentral:rRNA from 1 species
GGCAGGGCAGCUACAUGCAAGUCAACGGUAGCACGAGAGCUUGCUCUCGGGUGACGAGUGGCGGACGGGUGAGUAAUGUCUGGGAAACUGCCUGAUGGAGGGGGAUAACUACUGGAAACGGUAGCUAAUACCGCAUAAUGUCGCAAGACCAAAGAGGGGGACCUUCCGGCCUCUUGCCAUCAAAUGUGCCCAGAUGGGAUUAGCUAGUAGGUGGGGUAACGGCUCACCUAAGCAACUAUCCCUAGCUGGACUGAAAGGAUGACCACCCACACUGGAACUGAGACACGGUCCACACUCCUACGGGAGGCAGCAGUGGGAAAUAUUGCACAAUGGGCGCAAGCCUGAUGCAUCCAUGCCGCGUGUAUGAAGAAGGCCUUCGGGUUGUAAAGUACUUUCAGCGGGGAGGAAGGUGUUGUGGUUAAUAACCACAGCGAUUGACGUUACCCGCAUAAGAAGCACCGGAAUAACUCCGUGCCAGCACCCGCGGUAAUACAGAGGGUGCAAGCUAUAAUCAUAAUUGCUGGGCAUAAAGCGCACACGGGCGGUCUGUCAAGUAAGGAUGAGAACUCCCCGGUGCUCAUACUGGUAACUGCAUUCCAAACUGGGGCGCUGGAAUCUUGAAGAAGGGGGUAAAAUUUCCGGGGGAGCGGAGAAAUGCAUAAAUAUCUGGAAGAAUACACGGGGCAAGAGGGCGCCCCUGGGAAAAAAACUGACUUUCAGGUGCAAAAGCGGGGGGGGCAAAAGGGAUUAAACACCCUGGGGGCCCCCCCCGUAAAAAAUCUCAAUAUCAAGGUGGCCCCUUGAAGGUUGGGUUCCCGAAAAAACGCUUAAAAAUCACCCCCCGGGGGAAGACCGCCCCAAGGUAAAAUCCCAAUAAUAUGCGGGGGGCCCCCCCACCGGGG